GACUACUAUCUUACCCACACUAAUACACCAGAUCCCAUCAAAACUCCACCGUUAAAACAUGUUUGGAUGAGAGCAAUACCAAAUUAGGUGACCAAGUGGAAAUUCCUCGUGUUGCACCCU
rnacentral:rRNA from 1 species